rnacentral:rRNA from 1 species
GAUGAACGCUGGCGGCGUGCCUAAUACAUGCAAGUCGAGCGAACGGACGAGAAGCUUGCUUCUCUGAUGUUAGCGGCGGACGGGUGAGUAACACGUGGAUAACCUACCUAUAAGACUGGGAUAACUUCGGGAAACCGGAGCUAAUACCGGAUAAUAUUUUGAACCGCAUGGUUCAAAAGUGAAAGACGGCCUUGCUGUCACUUAUAGAUGGAUCCGCGCUGCAUUAGCUAGUUGGUAAGGUAACGGCUUACCAAGGCAACGAUGCAUAGCCGACCUGAGAGGGUGAUCGGCCACACUGGAACUGAGACACGGUCCAGACUCCUACGGGAGGCAGCAGUAGGGAAUCUUCCGCAAUGGGCGAAAGCCUGACGGAGCAACGCCGCGUGAGUGAUGAAGGUCUUCGGAUCGUAAAACUCUGUUAUUAGGGAAGAAUAUAUGUGUAAGUAACUGUGCACAUCUUGACGGUACCUAAUCAGAAAGCCACGGCUAACUACGUG